rnacentral:sRNA from 1 species
GAGGGAAGGUUUUGCUUAAAAAAUAUGAAAGCCAUUUUAUUGAUGUUGGAAAACUUACAUUUGGAGCAAUAAUUGGAUUGGGAGAGAACAUGAAGCUUCGUGUAAUAAUGGCGCGAACCAGAGUUCAGUGUUUAGUGCUUCCUAGAUCUUUCUUAUUGGAAAACAACCAAAACCCAGGAAACAUUUGGCAGCGUCGAUUGUUUUAUCUAGAUUGUACUAUCCCAUCAAGGGAAUCUAUAUUUUCCCACUUUCUCAAAUGUCGUGAAUGGAAACAAUUUAAAUACAAUAUUAUUCAAAAAGAUUUGAGUUCGUUUGUAAGUGAUAAAUCUCGCUAUGAUGAUAUACCAAUUAUAUGUCGUAUUGUGGAAGUAAAUGAAGAUGACUCAAAUAUUCAACUAACUAAAUAAAGGCCUGAUCGACCAUUAAUAUAUACUUUAUGUGGUCGAAAACGCCUCGUACAAUAACAAAUCUAAAACAAGGCUUGGCAACUUAGCAUUUAGGGAACACGACGUAAAAUGGCAUAGAUUAGUGUCUUUAGAUGAAGGAUGUUUUUGAAACAUCCCAACGCUUCUAUGAAGAGUUCCAGGACUAUAAUGAAGCCCCAACCUACAUAUGUACACCUAGAGAAAAUUACCUGAAAUUUUAA